rnacentral:rRNA from 1 species
UGGGGAAUAUUGCACAAUGGGCGCAAGCCUGAUGCAGCCAUGCCGCGUGUGUGAAGAAGGCCUUCGGGUUGUAAAGCACUUUCAGCGGGGAGGAAGGCGUUAAGGUUAAUAACCUUGGCGAUUGACGUUACCCGCAGAAGAAGCACCUGCUAACUCCGUGCCAGCAGCCGCGGUAAUAUGGAGGGUGCAAGCGCUAAUCGGAAUUAAUGGGCGUAAAGCGCACGCAGGCGGUCUGUCAAGUCGGAUGUGAAAUCCCCGGGCUCAACCUGGGAACUGCAUUCGAAACUGGCAGGCUGGAGUCUUGUAGAGGGGAGUAGAAUUCCAGGUGUAGCGGUGAAAUGCGUAGAGAUCUGGAGGAAUACCGGUGGCGAAGGAGGCCCCCUGGACAAAGACUGACGCUCAGGUGCGAAAGAGUGGGGAGCAAACAGG